rnacentral:rRNA from 1 species
UACGUAGGGCGCAAGCGUUGUCCGGAAUUACUGGGCGUAAAGGGCUCGUAGGCGGCCAACUAAGUCAUACGUGAAAUCCCUCGGCUUAACCGGGGAACUGCGUCUGAUACUGGAUGGCUUGAGUUCGGGAGAGGGAUGCGGAAUUCCAGGUGUAGCGGUGAAAUGCGUAGAUAUCUGGAGGAACACCGGUGGCGAAGGCGGCAUCCUGGACCGAUACUGACGCUGAGGAGCGAAAGCCAGGGGAGCAAACGGG